rnacentral:rRNA from 1 species
AUUGAACGCUGGCGGCAUGCCUUACACAUGCAAGUCGAACGGCAGCACGGGAGCAAUCCUGGUGGCGAGUGGCGAACGGGUGAGUAAUAUAUCGGAACGUGCCCAGUCGUGGGGAUAACGUAGCGAAAGCUACGCUAAUACCGCAUACGAUCUAUGGAUGAAAGCGGGGGAUCGCAAGACCUCGCGCGAUUGGAGCGGCCGAUAUCAGAUUAGGUAGUUGGUGAGGUAAAGGCUCACCAAGCCGACGAUCUGUAGCUGGUCUGAGAGGACGACCAGCCACACUGGGACUGAGACACGGCCCAGACUCCUACGGGAGGCAGCAUGGGGAAUUUUGGACAAAUGGGCGCCAAGCCUGAUCCAGCAAUGCCGCGUGCAGGAUGAAGGCCUUC